GUGUCAGCAGCCGCGGUAAUACGAAGGGGGCUAGCGUUGUUCGGAAUUACUGGGCGUAAAGCGCGUGUAGGCGGACCGUUAAGUCGGGGGUGAAAGCCCAGAGCUCAACUCUGGAAUUGCCUUCGAUACUGGCGGUCUGGACCCAAGUAGAGGCGAGUGGAAUUGCGAGUGUAGAGGUGAAAUUCGUAGAUAUUCGCAGGAACACCAGUGGCGAAGGCGACUCGCUGGACUUGUGGUGACGCUGAGACGCGAAAGCGUGGGGAGCAAACAGGAUUAGAAACCCUCGUAGUCC
rnacentral:rRNA from 1 species